ensembl:lincRNA uncharacterized LOC106148705
UCGUAGCCAAAAUGAGUGAGAAAGAAACAUCACUGAAUAACUUCUUUGAAAAGGUGGAAGGACCCAGUGAUGAAACAGCAGAAGACUCUACGACCAUCAGCAAAAAGAAAACUGAAUUUAAAAGAAAAUACCAAGAGUCCUCCUUUCAUUGCAACUGGUGAAUCACAUUCUCCAAGUCCACUUCGUAUAACGUGUGGCAACUGAUUAUCCAGUGAAGCCAUGAAACCUUCCAAACCACUUUGCCUGAUUCUACAUUCUGAUCCCAUCAUCUCUUGAAAUAACCAGAUGAAGACCUACAAAGUUGGAGUUCUCAUUUAUUCUCAGCAAAUAAUGAACUUUACAUAUUUAAUUCAUCUGACAAAGAUGGAGAAAAUUUGUUGAAAGUAAUAUAAUCCUGUUGAGGUUGAGGAGACCCUGUCCCAGAAAAAGCCGCUAAACCAGGAAGUUAUUUUGUGGUUCAAUCAAUAAGAUAUUUCCAAGCUGCUUCACCACUUCCCACUGCCACCUCUUCCACUGGAGUGAAGACUUCCUGUUUUGUAGCAAGUGCAAUUAUGCCUUCACCAUCAACCACCAACCUGAGGACUGCAUUCACUGCAUCCCAUAGAUUCCGCAGUUCUGGAAGUCAGCUUUCACGAGUGUCUGCAAGGUGUGAUAAAAACUAUGGCGACUGCUACGCUGGAUGCCGUCCCACAAGACGGAGGGCUCCUGAGAGCAUCACAGAGUGUUGUCAUGUACUCCAUUCACUGGAUCUGGCGGUGCACAAAUUCUGAAUCUUCCUCAACGUCAACAUGACUGUCAAACAGAAGUAUUUUGAAUCAGUUCAGGACAUCAAGGCAACCACAGAAGACUAAAUAAAUACUCAAGAAAACAAGACUUCCAGAAUUGCUUCAGAGAAUGGCAAGGAUCAUGGCAUAAAUGUGGUUCAAGCAAGGAGGAGUAUUUCAAAGGUGGUUAGUGUCACUAUGUCUUUUACUAUAAUAAAAUUUUAAAAAAUUUCAGCAUUCACCUUAUUUUUGAUCAUAUCUUAUGUUCAUAUACAUAGAAUAUGGCAAUAUGUGAGUGGGUUCUUAUUUACAGUUAGGAGGUUGGGAAGAGUUCCUCUAAAAAGCUAAUUGUUCCAUUUGUGAACUGAAUGCAAGGUUAGAGACUCUAGUAAUGUGUGAUAUUUGGAAAUCUACAGUAGGAAAUAGCAUUUAGGAAAUCUACUAUUAGGGAGCAG